GUCUAAAGUCAUUCCACCCUGAACAUGCCCAAUCUCAUCUGAUCUUGGAUGUUAAGCAGGGUCAGUCAGGGUUAAUACUUGGAUGGGAGAAAAUAUGUUUUAAAAA
rnacentral:rRNA from 1 species